rnacentral:rRNA from 1 species
GACGAACGCUGGCGGCGUGCUUAACACAUGCAAGUCGAACGGAAAGGCCCUGCUUUUGUGGGGUGCUCGAGUGGCGAACGGUGAGUAACACGUGAGUAACCUGCCCUUGACUUUGGGAUAACUUCAGGAAACUGGGGCUAAUACCGGAUAGGAGCUCCUGCUGCAUGGUGGGGUUGGAAAGUUUCGGCGGUUGGGGAUGGACUCGCGGCUUAUCAGCUUGCUGGUGGGGUAGUGGCUUACCAAGGCUUUGACGGGUAGCCGGCCUGAGAGGGUGACCGGCCACAUUGGACUGAGAUACGGCCCAGACUCCUACGGGAGGCAGCAGUGGGGAAUAUUGCACAAUGGGCGGAAGCCUGAUGCAGCAACGCCGCGUGCGGGAUGACGGCC